AGGCUGCCUUCACUUUCCUUUGUGGUGAUGUACUGCACAAUGAAGAGACAUCCUAUUGUGCCUUCUGGAGGCCCAGAGUGCUGAUUGUUAGAGUGUCCCUGGUGUUGCUGCAGGAUCACUCACCAUGGUGCUGUUACAGGCAGGCUGAUUGUGUCUCCUCUAAAUGCACAUGGCUUAUGGACUUCACUGCAAAGCCUCCAUAGCCUGUCUAUGUAUAACAGAGCAGUGCCAGGGUGGGUUUUGUGCUAUCAUGAAAUGUCUUUCCACAAGAGCAAGGUAAGGGCUUAUGAAUUGCUGCCCCUCACAGACCAAGUGGCCCCAGCCUGCUGGAAUAAUAAAGAUGCGAGAAAAGUGGGGAGCCAGGCAUGGCUGCACUAUUUCUAGCAAGACACUGCUCCAAGCAAGAGAUGGAAAGUAUUUGCUCCUUGUACCUAAACUCAGCACCCAGAAGAAUGUGUCCUGCUGUGCCCACUGAAGACAGGGUUUAAUUUGUGCAGCUCCUGGCCACUCAGUGGUCUGAGAAAUGUCCACACCCCAACACCAGUGUUUGGGGGAUGCACCCACAUGCUAGACCACACUCACAAAGUACAGGCAGAACAUGCCAAGCACCAGGCCCUGCUGUGUACUUGUGUCUGUCCCUCUGGGACCAAGUGGUGAUGCCUCCUGCAGCCACCUAAGAGGAACUUGCUCAUCCCUGGGUCACUCUGUGGUGUGACUGGCAUGGAGUGCCCUCCCCCGGCAUGGCACCUGGACUCUGGGCUAAGAGAAAGCCUCAGUCACUGUCUCUGCCCGCUUUUUGCAGUGUUUCUAGCUCUCCAUAGCAAAAGCAACCCAAACAGGCCAUAAUCUGAAUGAUCUGCCACCUGCUGAGAUGGAGAAGCCCUGGACUGAAACCCGCAGGUCGGUGCAGGGGAACACCACCACAUUCCUGCAGUGCUUUGGAUGCCUCUGCAGCAGGAUGGCUUUGAACCCUGUAAUCCAUUAACACUGACUGCCUUAAUGCUGCACUAAGGCUGCCUUGGUUUUAUUAGCCAGAAGAGUCAUGCAAUGACUUUCAGAGUGUGCUGCUUUCACAGAUGUAUCCUUAAAUUGUCAUUUAAGACAUAAGGGAAAAAAAGACCUUUUAAAAGUUAGAUUCAGUAACUUUUUAUAAAGGAGAACUAAAUUUAUAUCACCUGGUGAGACUCGAGAAAUUCUCAGUCCUUUGACUUUUUUAUUUAGCUUUUUAAAACUUUUUUGGUAAUAUCCAUAUUUCUAUAUGAAUUUCUGAUGUAGCUAUUUCAUAGACUUCAUUUUAAAUACAAUUAAUCAUACUGAACCAACAUCUUAGUAAUCUACAUUAUAUUACAAACACAAGCUGGCAUUGACAGGCAUUUUACUGAAUAUUUCGGUUGCUUUUCAUCUAGUUUCAUUUAAAAAAUGGGAAAAAGGAAAUGUCUGGUCUUUUAAAAUAGUUGUAUGGUGGCUGUUAGUUUUGACUACCGAAUACAGGCACUUCUAAACAAGCGGUUGCUCUUUUGCAAUCUCAAUGCACUUAAUUUUCAUCUUAUGAUAAGUGAGCCUUUUAACCCUUAAAUACCUGAGCCUGUUAAUAAAUGCAUGUAGGAUUGGGAUUUGCUCA
ensembl:lncRNA